UACAGAGGUCCCAAGCGUUGUUCGGAUUCACUGGGCGUAAAGGGUGCGUAGGCGGUCGGGUAAGUCUGAUGUGAAAUCUCACAGCUUAACUGUGAAACUGCAUUGGAUACUAUCCGGCUAGAGGAAUGGAGGGGAGACUGGAAUACUUGGUGUAGCAGUGAAAUGCGUAGAUAUCAAGUGGAACACCAGUGGCGAAGGCGGGUCUCUGGACCGUAACUGACGCUGAGGCGCGAAAGCGUGGGGAGCAAACAGG
rnacentral:rRNA from 1 species